AGGAUGAACGCUGGCGGCGUGCCUAACACAUGCAAGUCGAACGUCCUGUCUCGCAAGAGGCAGGGAGUGGCGGACGGGUGAGUACCACGUGGGUCAUCUACCGUGAGGUGAGGAAUACCGGCGAGAAAUCGCCGACAAGACCGCAUAGGCUCGAUGCAAGUCGAGCAAAGCUCUUUCGAGAGAGGGAGCGCCACACGAGGAGCCUGCGCCCGAUUAGCUAGCUGGUGGAGUAACGGUUCACCAGGGCGACGAUCGGUAGCUGGUCUGAGAGGACGAUCAGCCACACUGGGAUUGAGAACGGCCCAGACUCCUACGGGGGGCAGCAGUGAGGAAUUUUCCGCAAUGGGCGCAAGCCUGACGGAGCAACGCCGCGUGCAGGAAGACGGUUUUCGGAUCGUAAACUGCUUUUCUCGGGGACGAGAACGGACGGUACCCGAGGAAUCAGCCCCGGCUAACUACGUGCCAGCAGCCGC
rnacentral:rRNA from 1 species